GGUUAAGCGACUAAGCGUACACGGUGGAUGCCCUGGCAGUCAGAGGCGAUGAAGGACGUGCUAAUCUGCGAUAAGCGUCGGUAAGGUGAUAUGAACCGUUAUAACCGGCGAUUUCCGAAUGGGGAAACCCAGUGUGAUCCGUCACACUAUCAUUACGUGAAUACAUAGCGUAAUGAAGCGAACCGGGGGAACUGAAACAUCUAAGUACCCCGAGGAAAAGAAAUCAACCGAGAUUCCCCCAGUAGCGGCGAGCGAACGGGGAGCAGCCCAGAGUCUGAAUCAGCUUGUGUGUUAGUGGAACGGUCUGGAAAGUCCGACGGUACAGGGUGAUAGUCCCGUACACCAAAAUGCACAGGUUGUGAGCUCGAAGAGUAGGGCGGGACACGUGGUAUCCUGUCUGAAUAUGGGGGGACCAUCCUCCAAGGCUAAAUACUCCUGACUGACCGAUAGUGAACCAGUACCGUGAGGGAAAGGCGAAAAAGAACCCCGGCGAGGGGAGUGAAAAAGAACCUGAAACCGUGUACGUACAAGCAGUGGGAGCCUCUUUAUGGGGUGACUGCGUACCUUUUGUAUAAUGGGUCAGCGACUUAUAUUCUGUAGCAAGGUUAACCGUAUAGGGGAGCCGAAGGGAAACCGAGUCUUAACUGGGCGUUAAGUUGCAGGGUAUAGACCCGAAACCCGGUGAUCUAGCCAUGGGCAGGUUGAAGGUUGGGUAACACUAACUGGAGGACCGAACCGACUAAUGUUGAAAAAUUAGCGGAUGACUUGUGGCUGGGGGUGAAAGGCCAAUCAAACCGGGAGAUAGCUGGUUCUCCCCGAAAGCUAUUUAGGUAGCGCCUCGUGAAUUCAUCUUCGGGGGUAGAGCACUGUUUCGGCUAGGGGGUCAUCCCGACUUACCAACCCGAUGCAAACUGCGAAUACCGAAGAAUGUUAUCACGGGAGACACACGGCGGGUGCUAACGUCCGUCGUGAAGAGGGAAACAACCCAGACCGCCAGCUAAGGUCCCAAAGUCAUGGUUAAGUGGGAAACGAUGUGGGAAGGCACAGACAGCCAGGAUGUUGGCUUAGAAGCAGCCAUCAUUUAAAGAAAGCGUAAUAGCUCACUGGUCGAGUCGGCCUGCGCGGAAGAUGUAACGGGGCUAAACCAUGCACCGAAGCUGCGGCAGCGACACUAUGUGUUGUUGGGUAGGGGAGCGUUCUGUAAGCCGUUGAAGGUGUACUGUGAGGUAUGCUGGAGGUAUCAGAAGUGCGAAUGCUGACAUAAGUAACGAUAAUGCGGGUGAAAAACCCGCACGCCGGAAGACCAAGGGUUCCUGUCCAACGUUAAUCGGGGCAGGGUGAGUCGACCCCUAAGGCGAGGCCGAAAGGCGUAGUCGAUGGGAAACAGGUUAAUAUUCCUGUACUUGGUGUUACUGCGAAGGGGGGACGGAGAAGGCUAUGUUAGCCGGGCGACGGUUGUCCCGGUUUAAGCAUGUAGGCGGAGGUUCCAGGUAAAUCCGGUACCUUUUUAACGCUGAGGUGUGAUGACGAGGCACUACGGUGCUGAAGUAACAAAUGCCCUGCUUCCAGGAAAAGCCUCUAAGCAUCAGGUAACACGAAAUCGUACCCCAAACCGACACAGGUGGUCAGGUAGAGAAUACCAAGGCGCUUGAGAGAACUCGGGUGAAGGAACUAGGCAAAAUGGUGCCGUAACUUCGGGAGAAGGCACGCUGAUAUGUAGGUGAAGCGGUUUACCCGUGGAGCUGAAAUCAGUCGAAGAUACCAGCUGGCUGCAACUGUUUAUUAAAAACACAGCACUGUGCAAACACGAAAGUGGACGUAUACGGUGUGACGCCUGCCCGGUGCCGGAAGGUUAAUUGAUGGGGUUAUCCGUAAGGAGAAGCUCUUGAUCGAAGCCCCGGUAAACGGCGGCCGUAACUAUAACGGUCCUAAGGUAGCGAAAUUCCUUGUCGGGUAAGUUCCGACCUGCACGAAUGGCGUAAUGAUGGCCAGGCUGUCUCCACCCGAGACUCAGUGAAAUUGAACUCGCUGUGAAGAUGCAGUGUACCCGCGGCAAGACGGAAAGACCCCGUGAACCUUUACUAUAGCUUGACACUGAACACUGGUCCUUGAUGUGUAGGAUAGGUGGG
rfam:Escherichia coli ISC11, WGS project CBWP01000000 data, contig: c29